UACGGAGGGGACUAGCGUUGUUCGGAAUUACUGGGCGUAAAGGGCGCGUAGGCGGAUAUUUAAGUCGGGGGUGAAAGCCCGGGGCUCAACCUCGGAAUUGCCUUCGAUACUGGAUAUCUUGAGUUCGGGAGAGGUGAGUGGAAUGCCGAGUGUAGAGGUGAAAUUCGUAGAUAUUCGGCGGAACACCAGUGGCGAAGGCGACUCACUGGCCCGAUACUGACGCUGAGGCGCGAAAGCGUGGGGAGCAAACAGG
rnacentral:rRNA from 1 species